CAAGGUCUCCGUUGGUGAACCAGCGGAGGGAUCAUUACUGAGUUAUUUAAACUCCAAACCCUUUGUGAACUUACCGUCGUUUCCUCGGCGUGUGCUGCGGCUACCCCGUAGCUACCUACCCGGUAGCUACCCUGUAGCUGGCCCACGGCCCGCCGCAGGACCGCUAAACUCUUGUUUUUACCACUGUAUCUCUGAAUUGUUAACUGAAAUAAGUUAAAACUUUCAACAACGGAUCUCUUGGUUCUGGCAUCGAUGAAGAACGCAGCGAAAUGCGAUAAGUAAUGUGAAUUGCAGAAUUCAGUGAAUCAUCGAAUCUUUGAACGCACAUUGCGCCCAUUAGUAUUCUAGUGGGCAUGCCUAUUCGAGCGUCAUUUCAACCCUUAAGCCUUGUUGCUUAGCGUUGGGAGUCUACGGCUUCGGCGUAGCUCCUGAAAGUUAGUGGCGGAGUUAGGGUACACUCUCAGCGUAGUAACACUUCUCGCUCGUGUGGUGGCCCUGGCUGCUGGCCGUUAAACCCCCAUAUCUUUUAGUGGUUGACCUCGGAUUAGGUAGGAAUACCCGCUGAACUUAAGCA
rnacentral:rRNA from 1 species